CCAAAGUGGAGCCCUCACGUCAAGGCAAUGAACAAUGUGAGGGUGGGCCUUUUUUAAAUAAAAUAUGGAAUAGUAAACUGUUUAAAUUAGUUUUUGUUUUAAUUUUAGUUAGUUAUUAAAAAAAUUAUUAUCUUUAUCAUAUUAUUAUAUUUUUAAUUUAGAAAUGGAUGUUAACCAAGCCCCUUUUAAACUCUAAAAUUACAACUACUAAGAUAUCCUGCACAAGGCACGGGCUUAUCUGACAUAGUCCGCGAAAAUACUUUAUUUAGAAUUUAUUGUAAAAAAUUUAUAACUACUAAGAUAUCCUGCACAAGGCACGGGCUUAUCUGUCAUAGUC
rnacentral:lncRNA from 1 species